rnacentral:ncRNA from 1 species
GUUAUCAAGAAAGGCGGAGGGAUAGACCCAACGAAGCCUUAGCAACCCUUUAAUGUGUUAAAGUAGGUGCUAAAUUCUACUUGAUUUUUGAUGUAA